rnacentral:rRNA from 1 species
CUGGCGGCAUGCUUACACAUGCAAGUCGAACGGUAACAGGCCGCAAGGUGCUGACGAGUGGCGAACGGGUGAGUAAUGUAUCGGAACGUGCCCAGUCGUGGGGGAUAACGUAGCGAAAGCUACGCUAAUACCGCAUACGAUCUACGGAUGAAAGCGGGGGAUCGCAAGACCUCGCGCGAUUGGAGCGGCCGAUAUCAGAUUAGGUAGUUGGUGAGGUAAAGGCUCACCAAGCCGACGAUCUGUAGCUGGUCUGAGAGGACGACCAGCCACACUGGGACUGAGACACGGCCCAGACUCCUACGGGAGGCAGCAGUGGGGAAUUUUGGACAAUGGGCGCAAGCCUGAUCCAGCAAUGCCGCGUGCAGGAUGAAGGCCUUCGGGUUGUAAACUGCUUUUGUACGGAACGAAACGGUGAGCUCUAAUACAGUUUGCUAAUGACGGUACCGUAAGAAUAAGCACCGGCUAACUACGUG